AUACGGAGGAUGCAAGCGUUAUCCGGAUUUAUUGGGUUUAAAGGGUGCGUAGGCGGACUUGUAAGUCAGUGGUGAAAUCCUGCAGCUUAACUGUAGCAUUGCCAUUGAAACUGUUAGUCUUGAGUUAGGUUGAGGUAGGCGGAAUGUGUAAUGUAGCGGUGAAAUGCUUAGAUAUUACACAGAACACCGAUUGCGUAGGCAGCUUACUGGACCUUAACUGACGCUGAGGCACGAAAGCGUGGGGAGCGAACAGGAUUAGAUACCCUGGUAGUCCACGCCGUAAACUAUGAUUACUCGUUGUUGGCAAUACAUCGUCAGCGACCAAGCGAAAGCGAUAAGUAAUCCACCUGGGGAGUACGCUCGCAAGAGUGAA
rnacentral:rRNA from 1 species